rnacentral:rRNA from 1 species
AGUGAACGCUGGCGGUAGGCCUAACACGUGCAAGUCGAACGGCAGCACAGUAAGAGCUUGCUCUUACGGGUGGCGAGUGGCGGACGGGUGAGGAAUACAUCGGAAUCUACUUUUUCGUGGGGGAUAACGUAGGGAAACUUACGCUAAUACCGCAUACGACCUACGGGUGAAAGCAGGGGAUCUUCGGACCUUGCGCGAUUGAAUGAGCCGAUGUCGGAUUAGCUAGUUGGCGGGGUAAAGGCCCACCAAGGCGACGAUCCGUAGCUGGUCUGAGAGGAUGAUCAGCCACACUGGAACUGGGACACGGUCCAGACUCCUACGGGAGGCAGCAGUGGGGAAUAUUGGACAAAGGGCGCAAGCCUGAUCCAGCCAUACCGCGUGGGUGAAGAAGGCCUUCGGGUUGUAAAGCCCUUUUGUUGGGAAAGAAAAGCAGCAGGUUAAUACCCCGCUGUUCUGACGGUACCCAAAGAAUAAGCACCGGCUAACUUCGUG